UUGCAAGGCAAUGGUCACACUCGGAUCAAGCUAACGUAACAUCAGUGCAAACUCUGGUGCAAAGGAACGAAGAAAAGCAGCAGGAGGAGAAGAAAGCCUUGUAAAGAGCUGCAGGUGAAGAGACAUGUAGGACCACACCUAGCACAGCAGCCAGUGAAACAGAGCAUGCAGCAGGUGAAGGAGCAACAGACACAACCCGCCCUGAUUCUGCACUACAGCCUGCAGACACUUUCUCCCCCACAACAAGUUCUGAUGUCCAUGAGUCCAUCAGGGAAGAACCAAUUGAUCCUGCUGACUGGCCAACCCUGUCUGGCCAAAGUUACUAAAAAUUAAAAUAUUCUGAGACCAUUAUAUUUGAUUGUAGUACAUUUAGCAAAUAUGAAUGUACAAUAUAAUACAAACAACAUAGUGUACCUAUAAUGUAUAGCAGAAUGAUAACAUGGAAUGGAAGUGGUUCCCAGUGGCCGUAGGUGUGAGGGCGCAAAUCUUAGUAUCGCCUAGGGCAGCCAAUGGGCUAAGCCGGCCCUGUCUGGAAGUCUUACUUUUUCUUUUCUUGUUUUUCUUUUUUGCGUCUCUCUUGAUUAAUUGCAUUGCAAUAAUUGCAUGUUUCCAUUUCAAAAUAUUCCCCAUGAAUACAUAAUAUUAUUUAAAAGGUUCCUUCUAAAUGACCUCCUUCAACGUUAGCUCUUCAGGAUACACAUAAAGUCCAUUGAUUGGACAUGUGAUACAAGGCUAUGGUGGUUAUGUUGAAGCUAGAAAAAACUGGCUGGAUUUAGUAAAAGCACCAUGGUUUAUAUUAUUUCAUUUACAGAUUUAAAUUGAAAUAAGUCAAUGAUGACUCAUCCUUCGGCUUUGAUGCUUCUGAACUAACAGCGAGACCAAGUGGACAAAACGUUGGGAUGUACUAAAAGGGAAGGCAUAAUUUACCCAGGGGAAAUGCUGUUAAGCAUAUGUACACUGAAUAUAAAUGGAAUGGAACCACAGACUGUAUAGAGGUCCCUACUCCACCAGCUAAUGAAAGUCAAAGCUGCUGAUGGAAAUGUUGGCUUAAGAGGAGCUUAUUGAAGAAGAAACUAUCUUCUCGUCUUCUUUAGAUUUGUUUUGUCCAUUAUUUCAUCAGUGAAUAAUAUAUGUGUUUAUGUAUAUUUUUUAAUCUGGCAGGUAAUUUAAAGUGUAACAUUGAAAAACAGGCGAGACGGGAUGUGGAAGCAAAGGCCCGGCCUCACAGCUCAAAGACAGAGCUGAUCUUCCCCUGCUGGCGAGGGAAGGCCUUUUAUUUUCAUUCCUUUAGCUGCUGCUCAGACUCAUAGCAUUCCCCUCACAUGAAGACCUAGGGCAGACCAUAGACAGUAGCUAUAUAAGAAGGCUACAACUAACCUAGCCUAUUUCUAUCCCUUUCACUGCCAGCCUUUUUUUGCACACGGCUCUGUUGUCUGUUCUGAAUGUGAGAGAUAGCCACGCCCCCUGAUUUGCAUAUAAGGUGAAAUGAAAUAAAGUGGCAUUAUGAAAUAAAAGUGCCAUUAUGAAAUAAAAGUACCAUGAAAUGAUUACAUUUAUUUAAUAUGUAUAUAUUUAUUGCCUCAUUUA